rnacentral:rRNA from 1 species
AUUGAACGCUGGCGGCAUGCUUUACACAUGCAAGUCGAACGGCAGCGCGGGCUUCGGCCUGGCGGCGAGUGGCGAACGGGUGAGUAAUGCAUCGGAACGUGCCCAGAAGUGGGGGAUAGCCCGGCGAAAGCCGGAUUAAUACCGCAUACGACCUGAGGGUGAAAGCGGGGGACCGAAAGGCCUCGCGCUAUUGGAGCGGCCGAUGUCGGAUUAGCUAGUUGGUGGGGUAAAGGCUUACCAAGGCGACGAUCCGUAGCUGGUCUGAGAGGACGACCAGCCACACUGGGACUGAGACACGGCCCAGACUCCUGCGGGAGGCAGCAGUGGGGAAUUUUGGACAAUGGGGGCAACCCUGAUCCAGCCAUGCCGCGUGCGGGAAGAAGGCCUUCGGGUUGUAAACCGCUUUUGUUCGGGAAGAAAUCCUCUGGGCUAAUACCCCGGGGGGAUGACGGUACCGGAAGAAUAAGCACCGGCUAACUACGUG